GAUCCACGAUGUGGACAUUGAUGGAGCAGCCCCUUGUACCUUUCCCAAGCUUCAUAAUAGCACUCCGAGUCUAGUUGAGAGAAUGUGGUGAUUUCGUCCCUCAAAUU
rnacentral:snoRNA from 1 species